rnacentral:rRNA from 1 species
UAUCUCUGUAGAGUCUGCAUAUCAAUAAGCGGAGGAAAAGAAACUAACUAGGAUUCCCUCAGUAACGGCGAGUGAAGCGGGAAGAGCUCAAAUUUGAAAUCUUCAAGGUUCUACCUUGACGAAUUGUAGUUUAAAGAAGUGUUUUCUGUUGGAGUUUUGGUAAAAGUUCUUUGGAAUAGGACAUCAUAGAGGGUGAGAAUCCCGUAUUUGACAUGUUAUUUUCAGCUGUGUGAUACACUUUCAAAGAGUCGGAUUGUUUGGGAAUGCAGUCCAAAAUGGGUGGUAAAUUUCAUCUAAAGCUAAAUAUUGGCGAGAGACCGAUAGCGAACAAGUACCGUGAGGGAAAGAUGAGAAGAACUUUGAAAAGAGAGUUAAACAGUACGUGAAAUUGUCAAAAGGGAAGCGUUUGACACCAGUGUUGUUUUCUCGAAAAUCAAUUAAAAAUGGAUUCAUGCUAAGUUGUAUUGACCUUAUCAGCUUGCAAUUUAGUUUUGGGUCUCUUUUUGAUGCACUUUUCGGUUAACAAGUCAACAUCAAUUUCCUUUGCUGUAAAAAGGCAGGAGGAAGGUGGCUUCAAUUUCGGUUGAAGUGUUUAUAGCCUUCUGUCUCUGCAGUCGGGGAGAUUGAGGUCUGCAGCGUAGAUCCUUCGGGGCUAGAUACAUUCGUGCUAAGUUAUAGCCUUUUAUAGACAACUUGUUGACUAUGAUCAGUCAUGUAGCUUACUCGCUUAUGCUAUUUUACCUACGCUUAGGAUGUUGAUCUACAGAGCGAGAGU